rnacentral:rRNA from 1 species
CCUACGGGAGGCUGCAGUGGGGAAUAUUGCACAAUGGGGGAAACCCUGAUGCAGCGACGCCGCGUGAGCGAUGAAGUAUUUCGGUAUGUAAAGCUGUAUCAGCAGGGGAGAAAAUGACGGUACCUGACUAAGAAGCCCCGGCUAACUACGGGCAAGCAGCCGCGGUAAUACGUAGGGGGCAAGCGGUAUACGGAUUUACUGGGUGUAAAGGGAGCGUAGACGGCGGUGCAAGCCAGAUGUGAAAGCCCGGGGCUCAACCCCGGGACUGCAUUUGGAACUGUGCUGCUAGAGUGUCGGAGAGGCAGGCGGAAUUCCUAGUGUAGCGGUGAAAUGCGUAGAUAUUAGGAGGAACACCAGUGGCGAAGGCGGCCUGCUGGACGAUGACUGACGUUGAGGCUCGAAAGCGUGGGGAGCAAACAGGAUUAGAUACCCUAGUAGUC